GAUGGGAACGGGACCUUUUAGGAGGCUCUUGCAACAACGAGGGUGAAGGAUGCUGAGUCGGUGAGUAGCGCGGCGGUGGGGAGAAGUGGAAUUGAGAGACGGAGGAGGUGUCAUCAGCAAGCUUGUUGACUCAUGCCGUGUGGGCGAGAAGAAGUGAAAUGUCAAGGAUGUCUCUGAUGACUCAAGCUGGAGAAAUUGGUGAUGCUGCAGUAUCAGCUGGGAAAUUGGCAGAGGGGCUUGCUAGAGGACAGCGGGCGGAUGGGUGAGGAGUUCGGGUUUCCACGGAUGCUUUGGAGCUUCCUGUGGGAGGUCCAGACCCAGGUGGUCAGUGGUCAGUUAAAUUACAUUACAAGGGGCUCUGAACAGAUUCUCCGCCAGCAGCAAUUCCAGCAUAUUCCACAUCCUGAAUCUGCUCUGGGCACAGGAUGGGAACUACUGUAUUCGUGCUCUUCUCUGCCAUCUCGUGAUACACACUUCACGUCUUCCUUGGUCUCGUCUAAGACUGUUUCUUGAUGGAGGCUGUUUUGACGCCCCUUCCCGCCAGAGUGCGGGACCGUCCACCCAACGCCGCACCCCGGACAACACCUGGGACUGCUCGUCUUUUUAGUUUUAGCCAUUCCGGUGAGUUCAACAGAUGCCUCAUUUUGGUUUUGUUUUGCAUUUUCUCGAUUACCAAUACAGUUGAGACAUUUUUUUAUAAAUGUAUUAGCUCUUUGACGAUCUCCUUUUGGGGGAGUCCAUUCAAGGCUGUUGUCUGCCCUUCUGCUAGGUCGUCUGUUUACUUAGGAAGGGCUCUCUUCUGACACGGGAGCCCUUCACAGGCCAGAUUUAUUGUGGACAUACCUUCUACCUUGCAGCUUUACUUAUUCGUGUGUGUCUUUUGAGGCAAUGAAGUUCUUAAUUUUAAUACAAUGAAAUUUAGAAAUCUUUUCCUUUACGACUAGUGCUUUUAAAUAUUCUGGGUUUUUUGAAAAAGCUUUUCCCUGACUUCUGAGGUCAUGAAGAUAUUCUCCUUCAUACUUUCCAGACGUUUCAUUGUUCUACCCUUCAUAUUGAGGUCUAUAAUCCACUUGGGCUGAUUUUUAGCAUGGGAUGAUACAGAAAUCACGUCUCCGUUUGUCUCACAUAGACAUACAAUUUAGCCUCCUUUCCUGAUUCGAGAAGACUCAGGUCUGUCAUGCUGCCUUUACUGUAAAUCAGUGUUCUUAUAUAUGGGGUGCUUUCUGGACUCUAGGUUGUAUCCAGUGGCUUAUUUAUCCUUACAGAAGUUUUGUUUUUUCCAUAUUGACCAUUUCUCUCCUCAGUGUAUUUUUCUUACCUCCUUGACCAUAUGGAACAUGUUUAUAAUAGUUUUAUUUCCUCCUCAUAUGCAAUUCCUUUCAUCACUGUCAUUUUGGGGUCUGUUUCUAUUGACUGACUUUUCUCCUGGUUAUGGGCCACCUUGUCUGCUCCUUUAGAUGUCCAAUAAUUAUCAGUGUUCAGCACUUUAGAUUAUUGAAGUUUAAAAUAUAGACAAACUACAUAUGAAUCAGGAGAGAUAAAUAGUGAUAAUGAGUUAUGAGGUUUUACAUUACCUGGGAGGAGGACAUAAGUAUGAUAGUAAAAGUAUUUUAUUUAUUAUUUUAUUUAAAUAAUUUUUAUUUAAAUAAAAAUAUUUUAUUUAAGUGAAUGAAGGAUAGUGCAUAUGACUUCUGAGUUAAUAGAUAGAAAAAUGGAUAUUGUACAACAGCCAGGGUGGGAAAAUGAGCCCAAGAGAAGAAAUAUUGGCAAGAUGAGCCCUACGAUUGCCCAGGCUCUCUGCCUAGAAACAAAGUCCAGACUACAGAACAGGGGUGAGGGGGAAGGGGCUCACCCCAGCCUGGAGAUUUUCCUGAGCUGCAGAAACAGAGCUCAUGAGACCUCACUGGCUAGAAUUUGAGGGCAGAGGACCUAGGAGAAGGGAGCUACACAGAAGAGCUCCAGAAAUCUGCACAGGGGUCCUCUUGAAUAUUUGGCUGAGACCAAAAAUAUGUAUGUGUGGGGUGAAAGGCCAUAGGAUUGAACAAGGAACAACUCCUUGGGUAAGAAAUAGUAUUUAAAGAGAUUUUAUGAAUAUUACAGUGAUGCAUAUAGUCUGCAUUGCCUAGGCUUGCCUUCCUCUUCACCAUAGUCUUCCUCCUCAUCACUUUCUCUGCCUUUCCAUGCAAAAUAGGAUUCUUCUGCUUGAUGAGCAACCUUGUAUUUCAUUUAGUGCUGGCAUGGUGAUGCUGAAAUCACUCCAUGUAUAUUUAUCUGAAAAUGUAUUUACUUCCUCUACCUUACUAAAGAUUAUUAUUGAGCUGGACAGAAUUUUAAGCUUGGAAGGUAUUUUCUUUUAGUCCUUUAACACUUAUUUUAUUUUAUUUUAUCUGUUUUCACUGUCUUUGGGCUUGUCUAUUUCUUCUAUUGAGAUGAGAGUUGUCAAUUUCAGUUCACAUUGCUCUUUUGAAGAAUCCGGCCUCUUUCCUCUGGCAAUGUUGGAGAAAGUUUAAAAUUCUCUUUGCCUUUGGUUUUCAGAAGUUUUACUAUAAUGCACCUUCAUGUGCCUGUGUGUGUGUCUGUGUUUGUUUGCAAUGUUUGGGUUUAUAAAGCUUCUUAGAUUUGUACUUUUGUCUUUUAUUAGUUUUGAAAAGUUAUCUGCCAAUAUAAUGUUGUUUCUCUUCAAUUUUCUCUCCCCCCUGCCCUGCAAUUCCGAUGACACGCGUGCUGGUCCUUUUCUUGGUGUCUCUUGUGCUCUAUCCUGUACUUUCCGUGAUUUGUCACUCUAUGAUUUAUUCUUGACAUUGACAUCUGACCUACUUUCCGCUUUGCUGAUUCUUUCUGCAUCCAAUGUAUGUUAAAUCCAUCAACUGAGUUUUAAUAUUUGUUCAUAUAUUGUUCUGUUCUAGGAUUUUCAAUCGAUGAUUCUUUUUUUUUUCGGUUCAACAACUGUAUUUUUUGGAUCUCCUUUGACUCUAUUCCUGUUACCUGUAUUUUCUACUGUUUUUUGUAUAGUUGUCUUGCCAUCUCAUGGGCCUGUCUAUAUUAUAUAGCGUGUUUUUGAAAUUGUUCGUAGGAAUGACUCAGGGCUCAGCUGAUGUAUUGUUUGCCAAAGCGAUCUGGGUUCUUCUCAACCCAGUUUCCAUGGCCGAGACAGUUAGAAGCCAAGCCGCGCACCCUGCAAUGGCACCCUGCAAUUCCUUCUGGUUCCCUCCAGCGACUGCAGAAGAGAAGCAGCCCUUGAAGUCACUCCCUUCCCUGCAUCGUGCCCAGGCAUUUGCUGUCUCGUUUGCUUUCUGUUGCUUUCUUGCAGAAUUGCUGCUGUGUUGUGUGAUUUUUCCUGCUGUCCUCACUUUGACAGUUAGUCUCAUCUACUUGGUAUGGUGUAUUUAAAAAGAUUACUUAUUCAUAUUUUUUCACUAAAUAAAUAUUUGUCGAGGCUUCCUGUGUGCCAGGCACUGUGGUACAAUACUCGCUGGAGCCCCAACGGUGAGUCAGAGAGGGACAGAGCAGUUCUGCGGCAUUAAUAGUCUCGUGUCCCCAGCUCUAGUCACUCGACCUCCAGUCCUACAGCACCUUGCAAGAGCACACGAAAAUGAGCCCAGAGCACACCUUCUCGGCACACGGAACCCCCCGACGAGGCACCGUGAGAAGAGUCCCGCAGGUGUUGAGGGAUCUCGUGGCCAGUAGAGAAAAGUCCAGUUUCCACGACACAAGGGUGCGGCAGGGGAAGUCAGGCGUGUCUCCGCCUCCCCGCGGCAGGGUACCUGUGCCUGCACAGCGGGGCUGGCCACGCUCACGGUCUAACCGCAGCGAGAGAAAAGAAAGGGAGAAGUUGAAAGAACCUCUUUAAGAGCCAUUUAAAAUUUAAGCACUGUUCAUAGUCAUAAAAGCCUCGUGGUGUUCUGAAGCAACAUUAGUUCCCCAGAACACUAUUCCCACAUGUUUACACUAUCUCUUCAAAGGCCCAUUAGAUCUAAACUCUUUGAUGUAUGACCAACUGCUUCAGUGUUGACUUUUUGUUAACUCGAAUCUAAAUCCAGUGGGGAAAAGGACAAAUUGGCCCUUUUAUCAAACACUUUCAGCAUCAACUCACAAUAGAAAGGGACAUUUCCCCCACUUAAAAGCUACGGCGGUGAGCUUACGAGCAGGAGGAAGCGAAUAAAUAUUCAAUCCCGGAGCUUGAUUAGAAAACAAAGCCAGAUCUAUGCAAGCCAAGGCUGUGAACACAACUCUCUUCAGAGUGAGUUUUUCUAACCGGGUCUGUCUUGGGGGAGGCGGGGUGCAGCCCAGCCUGGGGAUGAGACAUCUGACACUGAGGCUUCUCUGCUGCCCGGCGCCCGGGGAAGGUGUGCGGGGUGUCCGUGGUUCCAGGGUGCUGCCGCUGUGCACUACAACAACGUUGAACACAGGCUAAACAUGAAUCAACAGGUCUGCACCCAUGGUCUACUUCACCACUGUUAAAAAAUGAGGCAGCUCUCUGUGUACUGAUAAGAAACAAUCUCCAAUCUAUAUUAUUUAGGAAAAGCAAAGGAUAAGUCAAACUUUAUGAAGUUAUUUUUGUUACAAAAUGAAUGCCCAAUGUAUGUUUGAAUGUUUCUGAGAACAUGCACUGAAAUCCACCGAUCCCGGAAGACUGUAGGGGAAAGAACUGGGAGAUGGGACAGAGAAAAAGCCAUGUGCCCUGCCCACCUUGUGUUUAACCCACACGGAGGCUUUAACAAAGAACUCUGAAGCAAAUGGCAAAAUGCUAAUAUCUGUUCAGAGGUGGGUACGUGGAUAAUUUGUUCUAUUGUAUUCUGUGCUUCUACGCUUAUUCGAAAUGUUUCAUAAUUAAAAUUUAAAAAUAAAAAUUCACAUGUCAUUUUUCCCACUACAUUU